rnacentral:rRNA from 1 species
UACGUAGGGUGCAAGCGUUGUCCGGAAUUACUGGGCGUAAAGAGCUCGUAGGUGGUUUGUCGCGUUGUUCGUGAAAACUCACAGCUCAACUGUGGGCGUGCGGGCGAUACGGGCAGACUUGAGUGUUGCAGGGGAGACUGGAAUUCCUGGUGUAGCGGUGAAAUGCGCAGAUAUCAGGAGGGACACCGGUGGCGAAGGCGGGUCUCUGGGCAACAACUGACGCUGAGGAGCGAAAGCGUGGGGAGCGAACAGG